CGAAGGGGGCUAGCGUUGCUCGGAAUCGACUGGGCGUAAAGCGCACGUAGGCGGACUCUUAAGUCGGUGGUGAAAUCCUGGAGCUCAACUCCAGAACUGCCUCCGAUACUGAGAGUCUUGGAGUCCGGGAGAGGUGAGUGGAACUGCGAGUGUAGAGGUGAAAUUCGUAGAUAUUCGCAAGAACACCAGUGGCGAAGGCGGCUCACUGGCCCGGUACUGACGCUGAGGUGCGAAAGCGUGGGGGAGCAAACAGGAUUAGAUACCCUGGUAGUCCACGCCGUAAACGAUGGAUGCUAGCCGUUGGGAGGCUUGCCUUUCAGUGGCGCAGCUAACGCAUUAAGCAUCCCGCCUGGGGAGUACGGUCGCAAGAUUA
rnacentral:rRNA from 1 species